rnacentral:lncRNA from 1 species
GUUCAGUGAUGACCUGAGUGAGUGAACUUGUCCCAUUUCCAGUUAUUUCUCAACAGAGAGUCACAGCUGCUGGAACACGGCUCUCUGUGUGGAGACAGCCUGAUGCCUUCCGUACCUUCCCAAGAUCAUUGUGUGAAUAUCAGAGCCACUCAGCCUAUGCUAGAGACGAGUGUGUGCCAUCCAAGUGACUAUCAAUGGUACCCUCCACAAGACAAAGAUCUGGGUAAGGAACAGAGACACCUGUGAAGAGUCUAGAGACCGUCAGUGCAGGGUCAGCAUGAUUGCUGGUAUCUUCUGAAGACCAGAUGGCUGGAGAGGUGUCACCGAGGCACUGCAAAGGACCUUCCAAACCCCCAGAGUCAUUGAGGAAGAUGGCACUGCUUCCAAGAAAUUUCAUGAUGGGUCUCCUGUAAGUGGAAGAUAAACUCUGUCAGCACUGUCCAUUCUCUGAUGACCUCUCAUUAUGCAUUUUG